GUUACCAUUCCCUCUCCCAUAUGCUCCAACUUUUAUGUCUGUUUUGCCAUCUAUUCCAUUAACCUUAUGAUUAAUGAAAGUCUCCAGAAUUUUAAAUACCUUGAAAGGGAGCCAACGCCUGGUCUUUGGAGGCUAUGUUGAAAAUAAACAACGAUAAAAACGGGGAGAUGCAGGCUUUUGAAGUCCUUAAAGACACGACCACUGUGAUCUUGGUACCACGGUGCAGAAAAGAGGACAGCAUUUCACAUUUCUGGCAUUACUAACGACAACACAGCCACUGAAAGCGAGCAUGAAUUUCUGGGAGUAGCAUUAGGAUACAGGGCUCCUGCUGAGCUCACCAGUUCCUUGCUCUGCACAGCUGCCUUCUCAGCUGGGGGUUUUUAAAUCAGCACAGUGAGAAAAGAUAGCAAUGGCCAUGAUGCAUCUUCCUCCCUGUGAGAAAAAGUUAUGGGAGAAGGAUUCUGAACUUCUUGUGGCUGUGCUGACAUCAGUAAGAGUUGGAGAAAGUAUACAUUUAAGAAAACGUAUACAUUCCCACCCACAGGAUAUUAAGGAUGGAUAAACGUUGAGCUGGGAGCCCAGCGCUGGAAGGACAUUCUAAGACAGAGACAACAGCAAACGCAGAGGGCAGAGAUGUGAGGAGUUCUGUCCAUCUGCCAUCAACGGAAGUUCAAAGAGGAAAAUGGGCCGGAUCACAAAAAAAUCCUUAUAUGAUAUAAAAAAAAAAAAAG